rnacentral:rRNA from 1 species
UUAAAUUGAAGAGUUUGAUCAUGGCUCAGAUUGAACGCUGGCGGCAGGCCUAACACAUGCAAGUCGAACGGUAGCACAGAGAGCUUGCUCUCGGGUGACGAGUGGCGGACGGGUGAGUAAUGUCUGGGAAACUGCCUGAUGGAGGGGGAUAACUACUGGAAACGGUGGCUAAUACCGCAUAACGUCGCAAGACCAAAGAGGGGGACCUUCGGGCCUCUUGCCAUCAGAUGUGCCCAGAUGGGAUUAGCUGGUUGGUGAGGUAACGGCUCACCAAGGCGACGAUCCCUAGCUGGUCUGAGAGGAUGACCAGCCACACUGGAACUGAGACACGGUCCAGACUCCUACGGGAGGCAGCAGUGGGGAAUAUUGCACAAUGGGCGCAAGCCUGAUGCAGCCAUGCCGCGUGUAUGAAGAAGGCCUUCGGGUUGUAAAGUACUUUCAGCGGGGAGGAAGGUGUUGUGGUUAAUAACC